rnacentral:rRNA from 1 species
UACGUAGGUGGCGAGCGUUGUCCGGAUUUACUGGGUUUAAAGGGUGCGUAGGCGGCGAGUUAAGUCAGCGGUAAAAGCCCGGGGCUCAACCCCGGCCCGCCGUUGAAACUGGCUGGCUUGAGUUGGGGAAAGGCAGGCGGAAUGCGCGGUGUAGCGGUGAAAUGCAUAGAUAUCGCGCAGAACCCCGAUUGCGAAGGCAGCCUGCCGGCCCCACACUGACGCUGAGGCACGAAAGCGUGGGUAUCGAACAGG